AUUCUGUAUGAGCUGUCCCUUUUUAAUCUUUCAAAGGCAGAGUUCUUCGUGAGGACAGAUGUCUAAUUCAGGGCACAAGAUUAUAGAAGAAUGAGUUCAACUUGGAGGACAUUUAAAAUCAACAGUGUCUACAAGAUAAAGGAUAAGGAGCUUAGACCUGCUGCAGUUCUUCACUCAGCUUAAUGUUUUACCACUGAUUCUAACUUGGCAGUAUUGGCAUGCUGUUUUCCUCUGCUCUUUUGCUUUGUUUAUUGUCUUUGUCUAAACAUUGCAAUGCAUACAAGGCUAAAACCACAGCUUAAGUUCAAAAGUAUAGAUCUAUGCCCAGAGAGAAAUUGGAAUAUAAUGUUAAUUUAACUACAAAGGGAAGUGUUCAAAGUACUUAUCAUGUCCUGUGCCACAAAAAUUAGAUAAAAGUGUCCUAAGGUUUUUCCUGCGACAGUAUCACACUUGGGCACUGUGAACCAAAAAGAGACUCACAAUAGCAGAGUGCCUAAUUAUUAUAUGUGUCAGCUUGAACAUACUGGAAUAAUUCCAGGACAAAUUUGUCUCCAGUUAUAAUUCCAUUUAUUCUAGUGGGGUCUAUUUACUGCCCAGAUGUCUGCCAGUUACUGAAAAGGCUAUAAUUAUGUCCACACUAAACCUGCCUUUAAAUUUUGGAUUGUCACAUCCCAAUGCCUGAAUGGGUGAAGGAGCUGCGGUGCUGGAAGCAGGAUAACGUUAGCACGACGUGUGUGAGCCUGGGCAGGGUCACACUAUAGUGGUUUGUGCCACGACGAGGAGCCAGACCAGGCUGUGGGGAUUCACCGGAGGGUCGGACGGCUGAGGACCACCUUGGGCUGGGACAGAGCCUGGGCAAGGGCUGGAAGGGUGGUGUUGGAGAGACAUUUCAGCUCUACAGCACUGCGUAAUGCCUCGGUGGCCCAGAAGCUGGAUUGCCGUGCCUUGCUUGUGACUGUGAUGCAGUGCUCAGUUACCUUCAGGUGUGCAACCACAAACAUGGCUGAAAAGUCUCGGCUGACUUGCUGAAGCCCCUUCCCAGUAGUCCGAGGACAGCUACCAACAUGAGAAUGGAAGCAGACAAGGAGGCAACAUGGUGCUAAACAAGGUAAGCU
rnacentral:lncRNA from 1 species